UACGUAGGGUGCAAGCGUUGCUCGGAAUCACUGGGCGUAAAGCGUACGCAGGCGGAUUGAUAAGUCAGGGGUGAAAUCCUGGAGCUCAACUCCAGAACUGCCUUUGAUACUGAGGGUCUUGAGUUCGGGAGAGGUGAGCGGAACUGCGAGUGUAGAGGUGAAAUUCGUAGAUAUUCGCAAGAACACCAGUGGCGAAGGCGGCUCACUAGCCCGAUACUGACGCUGAGGUGCGAAAGCGUGGGGAG
rnacentral:rRNA from 1 species